UUAAGCAUAUCAAUAAGCAGAGGAAAAGAAACUAACAAGGAUUCCCCUAGUAACGGCGAGCGAAGUGGGAAGAGCUCGAGCCUAAAAUCUCUGGCAGUUGAUGCCAGCGAAUUGUGGCUGGGAGAGGCAGCUGGACCCUGGCCGGUGCUGUCGAAGUUGACCUGGAAAGGCACGUCAGAGAGGGUGACAGCCCCGUGCACGACACUGCUGGACAGGGUUCGCUACUGUCUUCAGAGAGUCGGGUUGUUUGGGAUUGCAGCCCAAAGUGGGUGGUAAACUCCAUCUAAAGCUAAAUACAGGCAUGAGACCGAUAGCGAACAAGUACCGUGAGGGAAAGGUGAAAAGUACUUUGAAAAGAGAGUCAAAAAGACCGCGAAACCGUUAGGAGGGAAACGAAUGCAGCCAAAGUGGCUCUCAUUCAGGCUCAGGAGUUGUUGGCCUGCAGUGCCGGGYUGUUGGACGCCGAAGGGUGCUGCAGCCAGGAUACAGCAGCCGACCGCUCUGCAUUCCUGAUGAGAGUCGGCCAACAGCAGUUACCCCUGACUCGGGAGGGUCGGCGGGAAGGUAGCUUCUUGGUUUACCAGGAAGAACUUAUAGCCAUCGRCCUGGCAGUUGGGGGUGACCGAGGAGUGCUGUGACUUUUCACACCAGCAGUGCAGGCUCCCUAGGGGCCGGGUCGCUUCUGUCCGUGUGGGCAAUGCUUCUGGGACUGCGUGCAGUGUCGGAGGACAUGUGUGUGCUCGGGUGGGAGGUCGGCCACGCCAUGCACUGAAGUUGUUGGUACCUGGAUGGUUUCAUUCGACCCGUCUU
rnacentral:rRNA from 1 species